CUGAAUAACUGAUUUAGAAUUACUAGUACAAAAAUUCUGUUUUCUUUGUUCUUGUUUUGCAUCCUUUUCCAGUUUGUAUUCUCUAGCUCUGAAUAUCUGUUUUUUUUUUUUUGAAGAAUGGAUUUAUAUGUGUUUCUCUCCCCUCUCCCUCUGCUUGUUCUCGAUCUUAAAAGUUACCUAGAGCAAGCCGCCUCUUUUUUCUCUUCUUGUUAUUUCCUUCGCUCAGCGGUGUGGAGCUGUGCGGCUGCUCGCCCCUGUUUGAAGCCACCCACACAGUUCGAAUCACACUCCCAGCCGCUGACAACUCAACACAACCCAAUGCCAGUCACAAAUGCUUCCCUCCUGAGUUCCACAACCACUAUGAAAAUGAGGCCGUGGGAUGUAAGAAGAAAAGAAAAUGAUGUUUCGUGACUGGAAUUUUUAAAAAUCUGAGAAAUAGGAAAUAAAGUAGGUCAGAUGAUUAUUUUAAGAUAAUCAGUGGUGACAACAGGAACUCAAAGCAAAUCUAUAUCAAAGAAUCUGGAAAAUCAAAACAAGCCAUGUGAGGUCCUUUUAUGUAAGUACCUCCUAGUGCUUCAGGGAGAAAUGAUAGCGAGGACUCUGGAAGGACUGCCAAGCAACAGUCACAGGAUCCCAGGAAGAGAGAACUUCAUGAGCCAUUUGGGGAAGUAGAGAAUAUUAUCUGAAGGACCACAAUUCCCAGAACCUGUUUAUCAGUGAGGAGAAGAGAAUGAGGUGAUGAGGAAAAGAAAGAACUAAUUUGUCUUACUAGUGUCUGUGAUGGUGAUGGAAAUUCAUGAACAAAGUGAUUUACUCUGCUGUUGAUACAGCCAGAUGCCUUACCUCUAGAUCUGAAGGCUGACCUGGAGCUCCUGGGUUCAAGAGAUUCUACUGCCUUAGUCUCCCAAGUAUCUGGGACUAUAGCCAGGUGCAGUGGUGUACAUCUGUAAUCCCAGCUACUCUGAAGGCUGAGGCCAGAAGACUGCAAAUUCGAGGCCAGCCUCAGCAAUUUAACAAGACCCAGUGUUAUGGUCUGAAUGUGAGGUAUCCCCCAAAAGCUCACAUGUGAGACAAUGCAAGAAGAUUCAGAGAGAAGUUAUGGGGUUGUGAGUGAAUUAACCCCCUGAUAGGGAUUAACUGAGUGGGAACUGAAGUGGUAGGGUGUGACUGGAGGAAGUGGGAAGUGGAGGUGUGAUUUGGGGGUAUAUAUUUGUUUCAGGCAAGUGGGGACCUCUCUCUGCUUCCUGAUCAUAAUAUGAAGUGCUUCCUUCCACCAUACUCUUCCACCAUGAUAUUCUGCCUCACCUUAAACCUUGAGUUUAUGGAUUGAGACCUCUGAAAACCAUGAACCCUCAAAUAAACUUUUCUUCCUGUAUGGUUGUUCUGGUCAGAUCCUUCAGUCACAUCAGCAAAAAUGCUAUCUAAAACAUCCUGUAUCUAAAUAAAGGAUUUUGGAAAAGGUCUAGGGGUAUAGCUCAUUGGUAAAGAGACCCUGGGUUCAAUUGCCAGUACUGGGGGGAAAAAAAGCAAGAAAGAAAGUUAAAUUUUUAGCAAAAUUGUAUUAUGAAUAUGUAGAUGUAUAUACUAUAUAUAAUAUACACAUUUAUAUGUAUUUAUUAUAUACUAUAUACAUUUAUAUGUAUUUAAAUAUUGUUUCAGGAUCUAGUGAGUAAAAUUUGUAAAAUACCAAUUUUGUUUCAUUUUAAAUUUUAAAUUAAUGUUGUGAAUGUAGAAAACUGCAGUCUUUAUAUAGUAACAAAAAAUGUAUAUGAAACUGAUUUUAAGUACUAUGUAGGAAACCAGAUGAAUUUAUUAUUUGAGAUGGAGGAGUUAGAUGAGUGGGCCACAGUUUAAUGGUGCCAAUAUUAAAUAAUACUGUUCACUCACUUCUGAAAAUCUGAAAUUUUGGCCAGACUACUUGUCACUGACAUCACUGCUUAUAAGAAUUAGAUAAUUAUGCUUUAGAUCCUUACUGAUAUAAUUUUGAACUGCAUCUAAGAAUAUCAUGUUUCAGUGACUCUAAGUGGAAGACCUCAGGUCUAAGACUCCCAAAUUUUGUCAGAGAUCUACUUUGCUAAAGUUUCACUGUAUUCAAGGAAACAAAUAAAGCUGAUUCUCAAGUAUAA